AGCAGCCGCGGUAAUUCCAGCUCCAAUAGCGUAUAUUAAAGUUGUUGCAGUUAAAAAGCUCGUAGUUGAAUUUCGGGAUCAAUACGUCGGUCGUACCUCGGUACGUACUAACGUCAUUGAUUUCUCCCUUCUGACGAACCAUGAUGCCAUUAAUUUGGUGUUAUGGGAAAUCAGGACUGUUACUUUGAAAAAAUUAGAGUGUUUAAAGCAGGCUCACGCUUGAAUACAUUAGCAUGGAAUAAUGAAAUAGGACGUCCGAUCCUAUUUUGUUGGUUUUUAGGAUCAACGUAAUGAUUAGUAGGGAUAGUUGGGGGCAUUAGUAUUCAAUUGUCAGAGGUGAAAUUCUUGGAUUUAUUGAAGACUAACUACUGCGAAAGCAUUUGCCAAGGAUGUUUUCAUUAAUCAAGAACGAAAGUUAGGGGAUCGAAGACGAUCAGAUACCGUCGUAGUCUUAACCAUAAACUAUGCCGACUAGGGAUCGGAUGAUGUUAAUUAUUUAAUGACUCAUUCGGCGCCUUAC
rnacentral:rRNA from 1 species